CUGACAUGUCGUUUUCCUCUUCUUCCCCAACAAACAAAACAGUAACACACCUUCCCCUACUGAAGUCGUUCUUCAAUCAUAAAACACCAUGGCUUUGAAGCUGCUGAGCAAACUCCGAAAUCAGAAUCUUCAAAUCACUCGAAACCGAAACCACCACCGGCUCGUCGAUGCCGCCAGAUUCUUCUCUGAACAGCCAGUUUCGAAUCUUUCGACACCAGAUGAUAGCAAAUUUAUUAUUAAGAACAAACAACAAACCACCACAUCAUCUUUGAAACAGCACGAGCUUGCUAAAUUCGCAGCCAUUUCUGAUACCUGGUGGGAUUCAGAAGGUCCAUUUAAACCAUUGCAUAACAUGAACCCUACAAGACUCGCUUUCAUUCGCUCCACGCUUUGUAGACAUUUCAGUAAGGAUCCGAACUGCGCUAGGCCUUUUGAAGGACUUAAAAUUGUUGAUGUUGGUUGUGGUGGUGGAAUUCUUUCGGAGCCUUUAGCUAGGAUGGGAGCAACCGUAACAGGAGUUGAUGCGGUGGAGAAAAAUAUCAAUGUUGCACGCCUUCACGCUGAUUUGGAUCCAGAGACUUCAACCAUUGAAUACUGUUGCACAACAGCUGAAAAGCUAGUCGAGGAGCAGAGGAAGUUUGAUGCUGUGAUUGCACUGGAGGUAAUUGAGCACGUGGCAGCUCCUGCUGAAUUCUGCAAGUCGCUGGCAGCACUGGCUUAUCCUGGUGGAGCCACUGUAAUAUCAACAAUUAAUCGUUCUAUGAGAGCGUAUGCGACUGCCAUUGUUGCAGCAGAGUACCUUCUCAAUUGGCUUCCUAAAGGCACGCAUCAGUGGUCAAGCUUUCUUACUCCUGAAGAACUGGUGCUUAUCCUACAGCGUGCUUCUAUCAAUGUUAAAGAAAUGGCUGGAUUCGUUUACAGCCCCUUGACUGGGCGAUGGUCUCUAUCUGAUGAUAUUUCUGUGAACUUCAUAGCCUAUGGUACCAAAGAUGGUCAAUGAUGAGAAUUGCGUACAAAGACAGGCAUGCUGAUUAAAAGUUUUGCUCUUAGCCUCAAACAAUUUGUAUUUUGGAGCUACCCUUCAGUUCACCGUAUGUUUCUAAUUCCUCAAAUUCAUUGGCACGCCUGAACUCAAGGAUUGGGCUGAAAUAAGGCAAUGGCGGGGCUUGAGCGAUGCAUGCUUGUGCCUCAGGUCAAUUAUGCCAUCGUGUACAUGCAUGGCUUGCCACUGGUUUGACCCAUGGAAUAUAAGCAUGCCACCAAGGUUCUGUCUCAAUUGGAAGUGGCUGGAAACCACUUCCUCUCCGCAGCCUAUAAUGUGCAAGGUGACUGAGACAGGCACCGGAAUUCCCCAUCCCUUCGGGUGCAAAUUCUUUGGUUUUAUAGAAAGAUGGUUCGGAAUCAACAUCAAACAUUAGGUUUCUUUGAUAUAAUAAAGAACAGUAAAAUUUUUUGGUGCAUGUUGCCCACCCUGCCUUUUUCAUCGAAAAUUAUGUAACAGCUUGCAAAGAUGGAUAACUUUCAAACUACAAGUGGUUCCUGCAUUAAAGCCAGUCAUGUCAA